AUUUUGCUGGUCUGUAAGUAUAGGUCGAAUGGAGCUCAUUAUUAAACCACCUUUCGUCCGGUCAACACCAUUUUUGUUUUGUCUUGAAUUUAUUCAAAGUUAAAUUUUUGUGUAAGAUGUGAAACAUCAGUUCUUGUCCAAGUCCUAAUUCCAAUGGUGGCUGAAAUGGUUUUUAAUGCAAACGCAUGGCUGGCUUGCACUCCGCGCACUUAAAACAACUUACAUCUUCGCACACAACUUUAGUUAAGACCCCAUACUAUCGGCCAAUUCGCCGAGUUCCUGGUUGCGUUGGAAUUAGGAAAUAGCAACACCUUUGAUUUUCAAACAUGUUAUUUCCACAAGGCGCUAGACACUACACUCUAAGGUCAACAGGACGGCCGUCCCUUUCUCUGAAGAAGUGGCAUUCUCUCGCGGUCACAUCACUUCGUGGAAGAAAUAGUAACAAAACAGCUUAGCGAAAUGUUCAUUUAUUUCUAGUUUACAAAUGUAUGUGUAUGUAUGCAGUAUUCGUCCAAAAUAUUACUUUUGUUGGGUUA